rnacentral:tRNA from 13 species
GUGGUUGUAGCUCAGUUGGUAGAGCCCCGGAUUGUGAUUCCGGUUGUCGUGGGUUCGAGCCCCAUCAUCCACCCCA